GCAAAGAUGUGAGCUAAAGAAAGAGAGGUAUCAUGAUUACUUUUGAUUAAAGAGGAGAUUUCAAGUAGGUCUGUCUCGGGAUGUUACUAAAACAGGAAACCAAUGAAUAUUCCUUUAUCCUGAAAUCCUAUAAACAGGCAUUAGCAUUAAAUAACUUCCUAACUUGAUCUAGUGAUUGUCAUCAAAUUUCUUCUAAGGAUCAAAUUAAUACAAUGUGGCUUAAAUAGCAUUGACCUUUAAAUACUGUUAAAUCCCAUUGCUAUCCUUCAUUUUCCCUUUUGAGUUUACAUUUUUAAGUGGCAUUAAAGCUACAUAUACUUAGAAAUAUUUUUAUCUUUUUUUCUUUUACUAACCAAGGACAAAUAUAACAAAACAGUACUAAAAAGUAAAGAAUGAAAGGUUUGGGGCAUUUUAAGAGCCAGGGACAAUAGAUGGUAGAGAGAUACAGGGGUGCAAGAAUAGUCUACAUCACUAAAGAUAAGAUAGGCUGUGAGUACACAGCAAAACUGAAUUGUGUAUUGUAGAAAACACAGACUUUCAGAGCUGGAGUAGAUUGAAGUUCAGAUGCUGCCUACACAAAACUAGAACCCAUACUCACCUAUAUGCACAACUGAUUAAGACUUAACUUUGUGCCACAUUUCAGCAUGUUAAUCCCAGACCUCCCAGCAUCCUGGAAACAUUGCUGUAAUCAUUUUUACAGCAUCCUGUUUGUGGAGUUAGGUUACAAAUAUUAUGGGUCCUGUUAUACAAUUGAAAAGUUGAGUUGAAGGGAGGUUAUGCAGUUUGCUCAC
rnacentral:lncRNA from 1 species